GAUGAAGAAACGCAGCGAAAUGCGAUACGUAAUGUGAAUUGCAGAAUUCAGUGAAUCAUCGAGUCUUUGAACGCACAUUGCGCCCCCUGGUAUUCCGGGGGGCAUGCCUGUCCGAGCGUCAUUGCUGCCCUCAAGCACGGCUUGUGUGUUGGGCCUCCGUCCUCCUCCCGGGGGACGGGCCCGAAAGGCAGCGGCGGCACCGCGUCCGGUCCUCGAGCGUAUGGGGCUUCGUCACCCGCUCUUGUAGGCCCGGCCGGCGCUUGCCGACACAUCAAUCUUUUUUCCAGGUUGACCUCGGAUCAGGUAGGGAUACCCGCUGAACUUAAGCAUAUCAAUAAGCGGAGGA
rnacentral:misc_RNA from 1 species